GUGCCAGCAGCCGCGGUAAUACGUAGGGGGCAAGCGUUGUCCGGAUUUAUUGGGCGUAAAGAGCGUGUAGGCGGCCAGGUAGGUCAGCUGUGAAAACUCGAGGCUCAACCUCGAGACGCCGGUUGAAACCAUCUGGCUAGAGUCCGGAAGAGGAGAGUGGAAUUCCUGGUGUAGCGGUGAAAUGCGCAGAUAUCAGGAAGAACACCCGUGGCUAAGGCGGCUCUCUAGUACGGUACUGACGCUGAGACGCGAAAGCGUGGGGAGCGAACAGGAUUAGAUACCCUCGUAGUCC
rnacentral:rRNA from 1 species